ACUCAAGCUCUCACACUUAGAAGAAGGCUGACAUAGCCACACACACACACAAAGAUAUAUAUUUGCAACUUUCAUUUCAAGAUUAAGAAACUUAUUGAUGCUAUUUUUAUAUUCUACAAUUGAUGAUAUUCAUGUGAUAUUUUACUAUUUUAUCAUUAAAUACAUUUUGGAGUUUUUACACAAGAACGGAACGGAUUUUCUUGGAACUUUUCUCAUCAAUAUGAAUAUCGAUUAUUAAUACAAUAAUACCGACUUACUGACUUUAUUUCAAUGGCGAGCCUUAGCCAGAAUCGAUUUGCUUGAAUAUCGAACGUUUUUGAAUUAUUUCUCCUAUCGCUUGUCGAGAGGGAAAACAAGCAUUGAUCAUGCAGACAAGCUUCAAGGAGAAAUAAAAACGAAAGAACUUUCAGCAUCAUCGAAUGGAUCUGGAAACAUAGAAUUAUUUGGUGAAGAAGUUUACAUACGUAAGAAAAUCCUGUUUCUUGAUGACGUAAUUUCCCGUAAAGAGAGGGAAAGCGUGAAAGAAGUCGUCCUAAAUUGGAUCUGACUUAUGAGUCACCAAAAGAAGAGAAAUGUCAUAUUUCUAAGAUCUUCCAGAUGCAAACAAGCCCUUUGAAACUUAAGAAAAUAGUUCUGGGAGAAGAUGACAUAUGAGAUUCAUUUGUCAUAAUUAUUGUUGUCUUUUUAUGUUUAAUAAAGUUUUUCAACUUUACAGUACAGGAGUACAAGAGGAAGAAAAAGAAAGAAGAAUCAAUACCUCUAAUGAGAGGGAAAUUUCUAAAAACAAUUGACUUUUUAUUUUUGACGACUGAUGAUAUAAUUUUAUCCAUCAGAUAUAUUGUAGUUUUUAUAUAUGAACUUUUUAUGUGACGAGAUAUGUUUUUCAUAUCAAGAAGAGAUAUUUUUUACACACCAAUUUUUAAAAACAAAUGUAGUGUACUUUCAGAGUUGAAAGGGUUCAACUUUUUUACAAUGAAGUCUAGUUAGUAGGAACAUCUGGUGUUAAUUAAGCUAGAGUACAUGUUUCUUAAAAGGUACAUAAACAAGUUAGGAUUAACUUUACCUUGUAAUAUGCAUUUAGUUUUGAAGUCAUCUCACAUAUAUGAACAAAUUGAAGUUAGGAACAUAUUUUAUAUUUACAUUUUGACAAGGUUAUUAGAAAUGUUGUAUGGAUUAUAGUUAAAUAUGCUGAGCACAAUUUGGAGGGAAAAUAUGAAAUAUAUAUUUCUGAAGUGACAUUCAUACUUCAAAGUAUUGUACAACUAUGCUACAGUCAUGGAUUUAGGAAUAUUAAGGGGUUGAUUUUAUGGCAAAAGGAAGAAGAAAUGAAUAAGGUAUAAAAAAAUAUUUUAUGGUACAUGAAGCAAAAGUUUUUUUGAAAUCACUUUUCCUUAUGUGGAAUUGGAAUUGAGAAUAUAUUCAAGUCAAUUAUCUUAGGAUUUAUAUGAAUGAAUACAUAUGUGAAGCAAAUGAUUA